rnacentral:rRNA from 1 species
UACAGAGGUCCCAAGCGUUGUCCGGAAUUAUUGGGCGUAAAGAGCUCGUAGGUGGCGUGUCGCGUCUGCCGUGAAAGCCCAUGGCUUAACUGUGGGUCUGCGGUGGAUACGGGCAGGCUGGAGGCUGGUAGGGGCAAGCGGAAUUCCUGGUGUAGCGGUGAAAUGCGCAGAUAUCAGGAGGAACACCGGUGGCGAAGGCGGCUUGCUGGGCCAGUUCUGACGCUGAGGAGCGAAAGCGUGGGGAGCGAACAGG